GAUGAACGCUGGCGGCGUGCCUAAUACAUGCAAGUCGAGCGAACAGACGAGGAGCUUGCUCCUCUGACGUUAGCGGUGGACGGGUGAGUAACACGUGGAUAACCUACCUAUAAGACUGGGAUAACUUCGGGAAACCGGAGCUAAUACCGGAUAAUAUGUUGAACCGCAUGGUUCAACAGUGAAAGACGGUCUUGCUGUCACUUAUAGAUGGAUCCGCGCCGCAUUAGCUAGUUGGUAAGGUAACGGCUUACCAAGGCAACGAUGCGUAGCCGACCUGAGAGGGUGAUCGGCCACACUGGAACUGAGACACGGUCCAGACUCCUACGGGAGGCAGCAGUAGGGAAUCUUCCGCAAUGGGCGAAAGCCUGACGGAGCAACGCCGCGUGAGUGAAGAAGGUCUUCGGAUCGUAAAACUCUGUUAUUAGGGAAGAACAAAUGUGUAAGUAACUAUGCACGUCUUGACGGUACCUAAUCAGAAAGCCACGGCUAACUACGUG
rnacentral:rRNA from 1 species